rnacentral:lncRNA from 1 species
AAAAUUUUCGAAAACAUUUUGAUUACUUCUCGAAGCUUCCUCCCAUAUUUCCUUCCGGAAUUGGCUGAAGUGGUUCCUUCUUAGAACCUUCCCUCGUGAAGUUCAGGUAUGGGGAAGGAAAUGUGUGCGUGCGUUGGUCGUGUUAGUUUUAUAUUCGUUAAUAAAAAUCCCUUUCAUCUCCUAUUCAGGUAUUUUUCCUCCUUACUCUCUCAUGUAAAUUCUCUCUUUUGCAUACAUUGAGGACAAUGCAUGAUUUAGGUAUGGGGAGGGC